rnacentral:rRNA from 1 species
UACGUAGGGUGCGAGCGUUGUCCGGAAUUACUGGGCGUAAAGAGCUCGUAGGUGGUUUGUCGCGUUGUUCGUGAAAACUCACAGCUCAACUGUGGGCGUGCGGGCGAUACGGGCAGACUGGAGUACUGCAGGGGAGACUGGAAUUCCUAGUGUAGCGGUGGAAUGCGCAGAUAUCAGGAGGAACACCGGUGGCGAAGGCGGGUCUCUGGGCAGUAACUGACGCUGAGGAGCGAAAGCGUGGGGAGCGAACAGG